GCCUAUUGCACUCCGGGGUCCGGAGCGCUCUAGUGUCAAAAGUGGCUAUUGCACUCCGGAGUCCGGAGUCCUCUAGCGUCAAAAGUGGCUAUUGCACUCCGGAAAUUUAUGGCGACGAAUGGCAAAUAACGACUGAUUCUGUGUUUAACAUAAAUACCAUUCAGCCUGAGUUCAGAGUCUGUCUUUCAUUCAAGCUUCAAUUAUAGUGUGAAAGAAGAGGGAGUUAUGCACUGAUCUGUGGUUUCACCUUUGUUACAAUAUCGUACAACAGGUCAACAGCAUGUGAUGAGUUUUUGAGAUUUCCCCAAAUGAAAAACAAACCUGAUGCCUUCAAGAAAUUAGUGUUUGACAUUUUGAAAAAAAAUGUAUCAUGUUUGAAAAGUGAGAUUUUACUUAUUUCAUCUAUAAAAGUUUUAAGGUUUGCAGGAUUAGGGGUUUUCGCUAUUUCUUUACGUUUACGACCUGAUCAUGACUUUAUAUCACAUAAGAAGAAUGUUCUUCGAUAUCAUUUAAUAAUGAAAGAAGUUGAGUGUGUAUAAACAAAAACAAACCAUUCGUCAUCGUCGAGGAAUAUUCUUUUUACAACAUAAGGGAGAUAGAUGUUACAAAAUACUGGUAGUCAAAAAGAGGAGUGGUUAACUUUGUUUAUGAUUAUCUCCGCGGCGUUGGAACCUAAAGCAACCCAUCAUCAAAGGACAAGGCGCUUCCAUAUUCCGCUCUUAAAGGAUCUUUGAUUGACGCCGCACCAUGUGCUAAUUCUUUCCCCUUAAAAUCAAUUACUUUUUCAUUGUCAGUUCAUUCAUGUGAUGACAAAGCACCGAGUGAAACUGAACACGAAAAUACCAAGUAUUUUUUCGCACUCACAAUUCAGUUAAAAUGUCUUUUGAUAUUCUCACUAUAAUAAAGUAAACUGCAACGGCA